CCAUGGCAUGUGACUCAUAGUAGAGUGAUGGGGGCCGGAUGAAUCAUUUUGGGACCAUGAGGGCUGGAGACUGAGAGUCUUAAGGGAGUCCGCCGGUUUCAAAGGUUGGCAGUGGGAUUUCUCACUGCAUGGAGGCCAGCAGGAAGGCUGGGCGAUGGAAUACAACCUGUGAAGACACUGUUUUCUUUUUCUGCAAAAUGGGACAUGCGAGUCUCUCCUCCCAUGACUUGACUCCCAGAGGAUCAUUAUACCAAGGAAAGUCCACUUGCGGUUGCCCCGCCCAUGUGGCCUGAACCAGGCUGUGGGAAGAAAUCAGAUUUCCAUUCUUGCAGAUGCAAUCCUAAGCAGAUUCGCCUGAAGCCCACUUCUGCCCUGCGAGACCUUGCACUGGCCACCUAGCAUUUCAGAGCUCCAUGUCCUCAGCUCUGAUGUGUAAGAAACAGCAACACUGGACUGGGCUGGAUCUGCUGAUAGCGCUGUUCUGUGAUGUGCAAAUCAACGCCGUGCCAGCUGUGUGGCAGAAACAGGUGACUGCGGAUGACAGCAAGCUGCACUCAUGGUCAUUUACAUCACCCCGGGGCUCACGGAGUACGCUCAGGGUGGCAGCUGGGAUUGGCACAUCCCUGUAAUCCUAACAGUCUGGGAGGCUGAGGCAGGAGGAUGUCACAUUUGAGCUGUGCCUGGUGACGUAGCAAGAUCUGGUCUCAAAAAAAGAUACAAUAUAAAAGGACUUGAGGAGGUAGCUCCAUGGGAAGAUCCUGGCUUCAGUCUCCAGCACUGAGAAAAAAAUAAAGGAGGAAAGGUCCAGAAGGAAGCAUGUUGAGGCUCUGUGUAAAGAAAGUCACAGAACCCUCAAGAACACUGCUCUCUGGAGCACUCACAGCUGCACGCCUUGCUGGCCUGGUGUGCACCUCCUCCUGCACAAGGACCCAGCCACCAUCAGAGUGGUCCUUAUCCCCGCUGGCCAUCUCUCCCCUCCCAGCCUCACUAGGCCAUGCUGCAGGGCCACCUGUGCCAGAGCUGCUGUGUCUACAUACAGUCGUUAAGGUGCGGGCUCCACAGUGGGGAACCCAGAGCCCAGUUCCACGUGGUCCCCUGCAGGUGGGGACAGGUUACUCUGCCUGGUAGGUAACCAUAGCAAUGUCCCCUCCAUUCUGAGGAGGAUUAGCAGAGUUGAGUUAAACAUGACUUUCCAUAUUCGAUGCAAAACACCACUAGAAAGCAUCCCAGGUAAACGGCGAAGAGGGACAUCUGUGCAUCCUCAAGAAAGCCGAAACAAAACUCGGUAAACUUCCCAGGCCUGUGGCAGGGAGAGGGAAAGGGAGAACAGAUUCCAAAGGCCAGAGCCCAGGUGGGUGCUGGGCUUGACGCCUCAAAGCCACAAGCUUUGCACAGGAAGUGCAGAGCGGCUGGUGGGUUUGCACCCGGAACAUCUCCAGAAGCAGGGCUGGGGAGCCAGAAAGGUUGCUGGAGAGGUAGUGGGGUCUCUCGGUGACGCGGCCCUUGCUGCUGGAGAAACUAGAGCUGGAGCUGCUGAGCUUGGGCACAGUGGCCUGGGACACGCAGCAAUAGGACACCCAGGGGAAAAUAUCCGGGGUGCAGAGCCCUGUGCUCCCCAAAUUGGCAGCCAGGCACUCAGCUACCAGGCAGCGGACUGGAGGUGCCUUUUCCGGACCCCUAACCCCUCCCCAGUGAUAAAACACAACAACCAUGACAACAGCAAACAGAAUCACAUGGAGCAAGCUCAGGAGUCCCCUACCACAGGCCAGCCAGACACGGGACAGGUGUGGCCUGGCAGAUGGGUCCUCAAGGGGGGCCCUAUGCCAGUGUGGGAGACUCCAGCCUGCUUCUGAGUUUGCCCAGAUUAAAAACGAGCACAAAACCAAAGCAGCAAAAGACUGACUGAGGACCAGGCACUCAU